rnacentral:rRNA from 1 species
GUAGGUGGCAAGCGUUGUCCGGAAUUAUUGGGCGUAAAGCGCGCGCAGGCGGUCCUUUAAGUCUGAUGUGAAAGCCCACGGCUCAACCGUGGAGGGUCAUUGGAAACUGGGGGACUUGAGUACAGAAGAGGAAAGCGGAAUUCCAAGUGUAGCGGUGAAAUGCGUAGAGAUUUGGAGGAACACCAGUGGCGAAGGCGGCUUUCUGGUCUGUAACUGACGCUGAGGCGCGAAGGCGUGGGGAGCAAACAGGGAUUAGAUACCCUGGUAGUCCACGCCGUAAACGAUGAGUGCUAAGUGUUAGGGGGUUUCCGCCCCCUUAGUGCUGCAGCUAACGCAUUAAGCACUCCGCCUGGGGAGUACGGCCGCAAGGCUG